rnacentral:rRNA from 1 species
CCUACGGGUGGCUGCAGUGAGGAAUAUUGGUCAAUGGCCGUAAGGCUGAACCAGCCAAGUCGCGUGAAGGAAGAAGGAUCUAUGGGCGUUAAACUUCUUUUGUGCGGGAGCAAUAAUGGUCACGUGUGGCCAGACGAGAGUACCGUACGAAUAAGCAUCGGCUAACUCCGUGCCAGCAGCCGCGGUAAUACGGGGGAUGCAAGCGUUAUCCGGAUUUAUUGGGUUUAAAGGGUGCGUAGGCUGUGAGGUAAGUCAGCGGUGAAAUGCCCCCGCUCAACGGGGUGAAGUGCCAUUGAUACUGCCUUGCUGGAAUGCGGAUGCCGUGGGAGGAAUGUGUGGUGUAGCGGUGAAAUGCAUAGAUAUCACACAGAACACCGAUUGCGAAGGCAUCUCACGAAUCCGCGAUUGACGCUGAUGCACGAAAGCGUGGGUAUCAAACAGGAUUAGAUACCCUUGUAGU